UCCUCUAGGUGACAGGAUAAAGUGU
rnacentral:piRNA from 1 species